rnacentral:rRNA from 1 species
GUAGGCUGAAACUCGCCUACAUGAAGCUGGAGUUACUAGUAAUCGCAGAUCAGAAUGCUGCGGUGAAUGCGUUCCCGGGUCUUGUACACACCGCCCGUCACACCACGGAAGUUGGGGGCGCCCGAAGCCACUUAGCUAACCCAUUUGGGAAGCGAGUGUCGAAGGUGAAAUCAAUAACUGGGGUGAAGUCGUAACAAGGUAAC